GACGAACGCUGGCGGCGUGCUUAACACAUGCAAGUCGAACGGUAAGGCCCUUCGGGGUACACGAGUGGCGAACGGGUGAGUAACACGUGGGUGAUCUGCCCUGCACUUCGGGAUAAGCCUGGGAAACUGGGUCUAAUACCGUAUAGGCCAACUGCCUGCAUGGGUGGUGGUGGAAAGCUUUUGCGGUGUGGGAUGGGCCCGCGGCCUAGCAGCUUGUUGGUGGGGUGAGGGCCUACCAAGGCGACGACGGGUAGCCGGCCUGAGAGGGUGACCGGCCACACUGGGACUGAGAUACGGCCCAGACUCCUACGGGAGGCAGCAGUGGGGAAUAUUGCACAAUGGGCGCAAGCCUGAUGCAGCGACGCCGCGUGAGGGAUGACGGCCUUCGGGUUGUAAACCUCUUUCAGCACCGACGAAGCGCAAGUGACGGUAGGUGCAGAAGAAGGACCGGCCAACUACGUGCCAGCCGCCGCGGUAA
rnacentral:rRNA from 1 species